GGUUGAUCUCGGCUGCCUGCCUAUGUCAGUGCAGUGGGACAGUGGGAGUGGAUUUGUACAGCAAAACAGUUGAUCCUGAAGACCUUACAUUCAUGAUAGGCAUAUUUCAGGAGGAUUUGCUUUGGAUUAGUCUAGUCUAGUCCUGUGGAGUUCAUGUUCAUCAGUGACUGAAGUGUUGAAAGGGCACCCGUGAGAAGCUUCUUUCAGAUAAGGUCCAUUUUGAAAAGCAUUCACUUUGUGUUCUCUGAGACUGCUCAGCCAUAUGAACCAAAGUAGUGAUCUUCCAUCUGGAGGACGUUUCCUGGGACAGGGACCAGUAGUCCCCUGAGGGACCGUGUUGCCAGAAGGCUGCUGGAGGAGUUGGAGUGUGGAGGAAGCAGCUGGAAAAUAAUCCAGAUGAUGAAAAGGCUGGGCUGUGCCAAGAGCUGCUGGGGCAGAAGGAACACUGCAACAGAGCUGCCAAGUGCAUUAACAGGGUAAGGCUUCUGCAAGCUGCAAGGCAUGGAGUGGUGAAAUGUGAGUCCCCCAUUGAAGAAAAAGUUCAAGACACAGCUCUCAGUGAUGUGCGCUGCCUUUUGGGAUAGGAAAGGGGUGAUUCUUCUGGAUUUCCUGGAACACAGAACAACACCAUCAAGUCUGAUCGCUACAUCACGAUGCUGACUAAGCUGAAACCUUGAACUUUCAGAAUCAGUCCAGAGAAGAAAUCUUUCUCUUGCAACAUGACAAUGCCAGGCCCCACAUCUGUUUGAAAACCACAGAGCACAUUGCCCAUCUUGUCUGGACCAUCCUAGCACAUCCACCAUGUAGUCUGGAUUUGGCACCUUCUAAUUUCCAUCUGUUUGGGCCAAUGAAAGAUGGACUGCAUGGGCAACAUUGUCCUAGCAACAAUGCCACCAUAGCAGCUGUGAAACAGUGUGUCACCUCCGCUGGUACAGAUUUUUAAUGAACACGGAAUUCAGGCUUGUGUUCAUUGCUGGCAAAAAUACAUAGCUCAUGGUGAUGGCUAUGUUGAAAAAUAUAAUUUUGUAGCUGAGAUUUUAUUCUAUCAAGUGGUGUUAUUGUGCUCUUUGCAUCUGUUGCAGUUUACAUGCGAAUAAAUAGGAAGCAUUACUUUCGGAGCAACCUACAUAUAUCGUAUGCUUGAAAAUGUAUCUUUCUUCUAAAAACAACUAGCAAAGGAGUACAGUGGGAAGACAAUGGGAAAGCAAAUGCCUCCAAACCUAAUGUAGCAGUGAAAACAUGGAAAUAAAAAGCUUCUUGAAUGUGUUCUUAUCAUAACGUGCCUGGGAUAGCAAGUGUUUCUUUGAAAAAACACUGAAAAUACGUUUGGACAGAAGACAGAGCCAGGAAUGUGGUGUGGGACCAGUCAAAGGCAUACUGGAAUAGAAAUGUGUGCAUCGCAGAGUUGUGAUGGGCUACCACAGCUGUAAAAGAACAGUGCUGUAUCUGACUCUUCAUUCUGGUCCCACAAGAUCUUAGCUGGAUGUUGGUGGUAUUGCAGUAGAGUUUGAGCCUUCUCAUCAAUAUUCCGUUACAUUUUGUUGCCAUGUGACAGAUGGCAGCAGAGGGGCAGUCUGACAUAGUGGUGUCUAACAUGGAGUGCAUGUGAAGCAAAGAUGUGUCAGUGAAUUUCUCCAUGCAGAAAAAACUGCACCCACUGAUAAUCAUCAACACUUGCUGAACAUUUAUGGAGACCAAGCAGUGGAUGUGAGCACAGUGAGGCGGUAGGUGGUGCAUUUCAGCAAUGGUAGCAGCAAUAGUAUGUCACCUCCGUUUGUGCAGAUUUUUAUGAGUGCAGCAUGCAGGCUCUUGUUCACUGUGGCCAAAAUGCACAGCUACUGGUGAUGACUGUGCUGGAAAUUUUUUUGUAACUGAGAAUUUGCUCUAUCAAGUGGUAUAAAUAUCAAAUGCUAUUGUGUUCUCUAUAUCCGUUGUAGUUUCCAUGGAAAUAAACAAGAGGCAUUACUUUGGAGUGAUCUACGUACGUAUUAAAGAAUCCCACAUAUAUGAAAAUCAUAGGAAGUCCUCAAAGACAGAGACCAAAUAUAUGAAUUUAGUGUUUAAUUCCUCACUUUCUUGAAUUUUUGCCCCAGUGCUCCAUGAGAAUAAUGGGUAAGGGAGAAGAGUUCAGCUGUAACAGAUCCCGGAGGUAUGUAAGCCUCCUAAAACAGUUUUUCAUGAGCAAAAGCACUUUAAUGAGAAUUGUAAAAUGAAUGAUUACAGGAAUGCUACUGAUUCAAUCUGAAAUUAAUGCUAAUAGGAUUUAUUCUGUCAGUGAUAUUCAUUGUUAUCAACUGAGAUGUGCUUGAAAACAUUGUCUAUUGUAAUCUUGGAUGGAAAUCUUCAUGUGUCAUCCUCCUUUAGUUCCUGAUUCAGCAAAUCAGUUAGAACACACCUAAUUCUGAAUAAAAUUUUAAAUUUCACUGACUUCAGUAAGAAACAAAUAUCUGCUUUGUAUUAAGCACUUUUUAAAGGGUUUUUGCUAAUGUUACUUCCAACUGGCUUCCUUUUCUUUAGGGUUUGGCAGUCCAGUACUGUCUAAUUUAUUGCUUGUCAUACAACACAUCUUUCAUAACUACCUUUCAUGUUCCUUUGUUGUUCAGAUGUGUACUGGUGCUAUAAAUAAUGCUGUGUGUGAGUUUUAAAGAACAACUGCAAAUACCAUUGUGUGUUGUCAUUACAUUUGUGAAGGUUGAAGUUUAAUAAUUAUAUGAGGC
ensembl:lncRNA